rnacentral:rRNA from 1 species
AGGACGAACGCUGGCGGCGUGCUUAACACAUGCAAGUCGAGCGGAAAGGCCCUUCGGGGUACUCGAGCGGCGAACGGGUGAGUAACACGUGAGUAACCUGCCCCUAGCUUCGGGAUAGCUCCGGGAAACCGGAAUUAAUACCGGAUAUGACCACGGCCGACAUCGGCCACGGUGGAAAGAUUCAUCGGCUAGGGAUGGGCUCGCGGCCUAUCAGCUUGUUGGUGGGGUAACAGCCUACCAAGGCGACGACGGGUAGCCGGCCUGAGAGGGCGACCGGCCACACUGGGACUGAGACACGGCCCAGACUCCUACGGGAGGCAGCAGUGGGGAAUAUUGCGCAAUGGGCGAAAGCCUGACGCAGCGACGCCGCGUGGGGGAUGAAGGCCUUCGGGUUCGUAAACCCUUUCAGCAGGGACGAAGCGAAGUGACGGUACCUGCAGAAGAAGCGCCGGCUAACUACGCGCCAGCAGCCGC